GCGUUAUUAAGUUUAGGUAUUAAUGAUAAACCUAAUAAUUUUGGCGGUGUUUAUACUUUAUAGAGGAAUUUGCUCUUUAAAAGAUGUUACUCUAUUAGAGCUUAAUUUUUAGUGUGUCUACUGCUGUUGGUUGACUAAUUUGUUAAGAUUUAGUCAGGAAUUUUAGAAUAUUUUAUUUCAAGUAGAAGUGCAGCGUUAUAAUUAAGAGUGAAGUGAAUUACAAUAAUUAAAUUUAUCAUGAAUUGGUUGUUGAGAAAUAGUUAUGAAGGUGGAUUUAUUAGUAAUUUUUAGAAAGUUUAUAAAGAUGAAGAUGUUCUUAAACAUGC
rnacentral:rRNA from 1 species